GAAAUGCGAUAAGUAAUGUGAAUUGCAGAAUUCAGUGAAUCAUCGAAUCUUUGAACGCACAUUGUGCCCGCCAGUAUUCUGGCGGGCAUGCCUGUUCGAGCGUCAUUUCAACCAUCAAGCCCCGGGCUUGUGUUGGGGACCUGCGGCUGCCGCAGGCCCUGAAAAGCAGUGGCGGGCUCGCUGUCACACCGAGCGUAGUAGCAUACAUCUCGCUCUGGGCGUGCUGCGGGUUCCGGCCGUUAAACCACCUUCGUAACCCAAGGUUGACCUCGGAUCAGGUAGGAAGACCCGCUGAACUUAAGC
rnacentral:misc_RNA from 1 species